AGAAAUGUGGUCAAAUGCCUUGCCUGUGAUGACCCACAACCAGGGUUUGUCGUGGGGUUAAUCUUCCAGAAAUCUUUGGAUUCUGGAAACUUUCCCAAGGAUGUUGGAAGGUAGCAAACAUAAUCCCACUACUUGGUAUUAAAAGAAAAGGAGGAACUUCAGGCCAUUUAGUCAAACAUUAGGGGGAGAUAAAAUGGUAGAAUCUAUUAUGGGAUCACCGGGCAUUUAAAAAGGACGACAAAGAAAGAUUUCUUCAACAUUUCUUAAAAUUAUUAAAAAAUCAUCACAUGUUUGAACAAAGUUGAUAUUUUUCUGAAAGAAAAAUAGUGUAGCUCAUUUUCAUGACCUAGACUCAUAAACAUGGAAUGGUUGCAGCAGAGCUGGAGGCCACUCCAGCUCAUUGCUGUCCACACCAGUUCUAUGUGAAAGCAAAUUCCCUUACCCCAAUAUCCCAUCUUCUUUCCUAUCGCUCUGCAAAUGUGUAAUUAUCCUUUUGAAAGCCACUCUCAGGUAAGUGUAUUCCAGAUCAUAAUUCAUCACUAUGUUUAAAAAAACACUUUCCUCUUAUCACCUCUUUAUUUUGCCAGUCUCUUUAAAUUAGGAUCCUCUAGUUUUUAACCCUUCUACCAAUGGGAAGAAUUCUUUCCACCUACUCUAUAUAAACCCUUCAUGAUUUCGAGCACCUCAAAUAAAUUUCCUCUAAACCUUCUGUUCUCCAUAGAGAACAUCUUCAGCUUUGACAAUCUAUUCAGUUACUGAAGCCCCUUAUGCCCAAAUCAUUACUGUAAAUCUUGUCUGUACCCUCUCCUAUGUCUUUACAUUGUUUCAAAAGUACAGCAACCAGACUUACACACAGCACUCUAAUUGGGGCUUAACCAAUAUUUUGUAAAGGUUGACCAUAACUUGCAGUUGAAAUCUGUGUUAUUAAUGUCAGGUCGUUCUGCUAGAAUGUGUGUUUUGGUAACACAAAUUCGUUACAACACAAUUGACAAAUUGGAGGCAUUGUUCUAAAGCACCAAGUUUUAAAGUGUGUAUUGGUUAUAAUGCAUUUCCGCUCUUAAGUGGUGCUGCAAUAACGCGAUUUUCAUAUAAUACUGAAUUGCACGAGAAUGGAACUACCAUGUUAUAGCAGAACUGACUGUAAUUUCUCAACCUGCCCUGCCAGCUUUAAUGAUUAUGUGUAGAAAACCCAGGCGCCCCUACUCAUGCAAAGGGAUUGCUACUUUAUUGCCUUUCUCAUCCCCCCCCCCUGCAAAAAUGUAUCACUUUGUUUCUUCUUUUUAAAUUUUGGGUUUUACAUGCCACGCUUUCCAUCAGCAUGUCAAAGAUGCCAUUACUAUCCUUCCAGUUCACUUUGCUGUUUAAAUUUUUUGAUGAUGUAACUACUAAGGCGAAUAAGGGGGAUCCAAUGGAUGAAGGGUACUUUGGAUUUUCAAGAAGCAUUCCCAGUUGGAUAACCUUUCUUCAGAGGAACAUCCAAAUCUAAUAGGACUGCAAGAGCUGGAGGCAACUGAGGCUCAAAAUGUCAAGGAUCUGCUACACAUUUUGGGUUAUACUUGCCCAAAUGAGGAUGGCUCUUCAGAAAAUAAAGAUGCUGCAAGAUCUGAGCUAUUUACAGCUGCAUUCUACCUUUUUAGUGCUUUGGAUGCUUUGUCUGAAGAAAGUCUUGCAGUUUUGGGUAUUUGCUGCGAAAUUCAAAUUCUUCCAACAUUGCUUUAUUUGGUAAGU